GAUGAACGCUAGCGUUAGGCUUAACACAUGCAAGUCGAGGGGCGGCACAAGGUAGCUUGCUAUCUGGGUGGCGACCGGCGCACGGGUGCGUAACGCGUAUGCAACUUGCCCUAUACAGGAGGAUAACCCGUCGAAAGACGGACUAAUACUGCGUAUGCUCACAACUUGGCAUCAAGUGGUGAGGAAAGAAAUUCGGUAUAGGAUAGGCAUGCGUCCCAUUAGCUUGUUGGUGAGGUAACGGCUCACCAAGGCAACGAUGGGUAGGGGAACUGAGAGGUUUAUCCCCCACACUGGUACUGAGACACGGACCAGACUCCUACGGGAGGCAGCAGUGAGGAAUAUUGGUCAAUGGGCGCGAGCCUGAACCAGCCAAGUCGCGUGAAGGAUGACUGUCUUAUGGAUUGUAAACUUCUUUUAUACGGGAAUAACAAGAGUCACGUGUGACUCCCUGCAUGUACCGUAUGAAUAAGCAUCGGCUAACUCCGUG
rnacentral:rRNA from 1 species